rnacentral:rRNA from 1 species
UACGGAAGGCAGCAGUGGGGGAAUAUUGCACAAUGGGCGCAAGCCUGAUGCAGCCAUGCCGCGUGUAUGAAGAAGGCCUUCGGGUUGUAAAGUACUUUCAGUCGUAGAGGAAGGUGUUAAGGUUAAUAACCUUAGCAAUUGACGUUAGCGACAGAAGAAGCACCGGCUAACUCCGUGCCAGCAGCCGCGGUAAUACGGGGGGUGCGAGCGUUAAUCAGAAUUACUGGGCGUAAAGAGCACGUAGGUGGUUUUUUUAAGUCAGAUGUGAAAUCCCUGGGCUUAACCUAGGAACUGCAUUUUGAAACUGAAAUACUAGAGUAUCGUAGAGGGAGGUAGAAUUCUAGGUGUAGCGGUGAAAUGCGUAGAUAUCUGGAGGAAUACCUGUGGCGAAAGCGGCCUCCUAAACGAAUACUGACACUGAGGUGCGAAAGCGUGGGGAGCGAAACAGGGAUUAGAUACC